GCCCUUAUAGUUUAGUAGCAGAACACCAGUCUCGUAAACUGGAAGCCCUGGUUCGAUUCCAGGUGGGGGCU
rnacentral:tRNA from 1 species